rnacentral:rRNA from 1 species
AUUGAACGCUGGCGGCAGGCCUAACACAUGCAAGUCGAACGAGUGGCGGACGGGUGAGUAAUGUCUGGGAAACUGCCCGAUGGAGGGGGAUAACUACUGGAAACGGUAGCUAAUACCGCAUACCAUCGGCUGUGCCCCGGUGGGAUUAGCUAGGAGGUGGGGUAACGGAUCACCUAGGCGACGAUCCCUAGCUGGUCUGAGAGGAUUACACCCCCCACUGGAACUGAGACACGGUCCAGACUCCUCCAACACCACCCCAUCAAUAAUAUUGCACAAUGAGCGCAAGCCUGAUUCAGCCAUGCCGCGUGUAUGAAGAACACCUUCGGGUUUUAAAGUACUUUCAGCGAGGAGGCGUUACUCGCAGAAGAAGCACCGGCUAACUCCGUGCCAGCAGCCGCGGUAAUAC